UACGUAGGGUCCAAGCGUUAUCCGGAAUCACUGGGCGUAAAGCGUCCGCAGCCGGCGUGUUAAGUGAGAUGUUAAAUCGUGUGGCUCAACCAUAUCGGUGUAUCUCAUACUGGCAUGCUAGAGGAAAUCAGAGGCAAGUGGAAUUUGUAGUGUAGCAGUGAAAUGCGUAGAGAUGUGGAGGAACACCGAUGGCGAAGGCAGCCCCCUGGGCUAACACUGACGCUCAUGCACGAAAGCGUGGGGAGCAAACAGG
rnacentral:rRNA from 1 species